UACGUAGGUGACAAGCGUUGUCCGGAUUUACUGGGCGUAAAGAGCGCGCAGGCGGUCGAUCAAGUCGAGUGUGAAAGCCCCCGGCUCAACUGGGGAGGGUCAUUCGAUACUGAUCGACUCGAAGGCAGGAGAGGGUAGUGGAAUUCCCGGUGUAGUGGUGAAAUGCGUAGAUAUCGGGAGGAACACCAGUGGCGAAGGCGACUACCUGGCCUGUUCUUGACGCUGAGGCGCGAAAAGCUAGGGGAGCAA
rnacentral:rRNA from 1 species